AUGAACGCUAGCGACAGGCUUAACACAUGCAAGUCGAGGGGCAGCACAGGUAGCAAUACCGGGUGGCGACCGGCGCACGGGUGAGUAACGCGUAUGCAACUUACCUAUCAGAGGGGGAUAACCCGGCGAAAGUCGGACUAAUACCGCAUGAAGCAGGGGCCCCGCAUGGGGAUAUUUGCUAAAGAUUCAUCGCUGAUAGAUAGGCAUGCGUUCCAUUAGGCAGUUGGCGGGGUAACGGCCCACCAAACCGACGAUGGAUAGGGGUUCUGAGAGGAAGGUCCCCCACAUUGGUACUGAGACACGGACCAAACUCCUACGGGAGGCAGCAGUGAGGAAUAUUGGUCAAUGGGCGCGAGCCUGAACCAGCCAAGUCGCGUGAGGGAUGAAGGUUCUAUGGAUCGUAAACCUCUUUUAUAAGGGAAUAAAGUGCGGGACGUGUCCCGUUUUGUAUGUACCUUAUGAAUAAGGAUCGGCUAACUCCGUGCCAGCAGCCGCGGUAAUACGGAGGAUCCGAGCGUUAUCCGGAUUUAUUGGGUUUAAAGGGUGCGUAGGCGGCCUUUUAAGUCAGCGGUGAAAGUCUGUGGCUCAACCAUAGAAUUGCCGUUGAAACUGGGGGGCUUGAGUAUGUUUGAGGCAGGCGGAAUGCGUGGUGUAGCGGUGAAAUGCUUAGAUAUCACGCAGAACCCCGAUUGCGAAGGCAGCCUGCCAAGCCAUGACUGACGCUGAUGCACGAAAGCGUGGGGAUCAAACAGGAUUAGAUACCCUGGUAGUCCACGCAGUAAACGAUGAUCACUAGCUGUUUGCGAUACACUGUAAGCGGCACAGCGAAAGCGUUAAGUGAUCCACCUGGGGAGUACGCCGGCAACGGUGAAACUCAAAGGAAUUGACGGGGGCCCGCACAAGCGGAGGAACAUGUGGUUUAAUUCGAUGAUACGCGAGGAACCUUACCCGGGUUUGAACGCAUUCGGACCGAGGUGGAAACACCUUUUCUAGCAAUAGCCGUUUGCGAGGUGCUGCAUGGUUGUCGUCAGCUCGUGCCGUGAGGUGUCGGCUUAAGUGCCAUAACGAGCGCAACCCUUGCCACUAGUUACUAACAGGUUAGGCUGAGGACUCUGGUGGGACUGCCAGCGUAAGCUGCGAGGAAGGCGGGGAUGACGUCAAAUCAGCACGGCCCUUACAUCCGGGGCGACACACGUGUUACAAUGGCGUGGACAAAGGGAAGCCACCUGGCGACAGGGAGCGAAUCCCCAAACCACGUCUCAGUUCGGAUCGGAGUCUGCAACCCGACUCCGUGAAGCUGGAUUCGCUAGUAAUCGCGCAUCAGCCAUGGCGCGGUGAAUACGUUCCCGGGCCUUGUACACACCGCCCGUCAAGCCAUGGGAGCCGGGGGUACCUGAAGUCCGUAACCGCGAGGAUCGGCCUAGGGUAAAACUGGUGACUGGGGCU
rnacentral:rRNA from 1 species